rnacentral:rRNA from 1 species
GAUGAACGCUGGCGGCGUGCUUAACACAUGCAAGUCGAACGAUGAAGCCCAGCUUGCUGGGUGGAUUAGUGGCGAACGGGUGAGUAACACGUGAGUAACCUGCCCUUAACUCCGGGAUAAGCCUGGGAAACUGGGUCUAAUACCGGAUAGGAGCGUCCACCGCAUGGUGGGUGUUGGAAAGAUUUAUCGGUUUUGGAUGGACUCGCGGCAUAUCAGCUUGUUGGUGAGGUAAUGGCUCACCAAGGCGACGACGGGUAGCCGGCCUGAGAGGGUGACCGGCCACACUGGGACUGAGACACGGCCCAGACUCCUACGGGAGGCAGCAGUGGGGAAUAUUGCACAAUGGGCGCAAGCCUGAUGCAGCGACGCCGCGUGAGGGAUGACGGCCUUCGGGUUGUAAACCUCUUUCAGUAGGGAAGAAGCGAAAGUGACGGUACCUGCAGAAGAAGCACCGGCUAACUACGUG